GACUAACGCUGGCGGCGUGCCUAACACAUGCAAGUCGAGCGAGGAACUUCGGUUCCUAGCGGCGGACGGGUGAGUAACACGUGGGUAACCUGGCUCAUAGAGGGGGAUAGCCUCCCGAAAGGGAGAUUAAUACCGCAUAAGAAGCGAAAGUCGCAUGGCUUUAGCUUUAAAGGAGUAAUCCGCUAUGAGAUGGGCCCGCGGCGCAUUAGCUAGUUGGUGAGGUAACGGCCCACCAAGGCGACGAUGCGUAGCCGACCUGGGAGGGUGAUCGGCCACAUGGGAACUGAGACACGGUCCAGACUCCUACGGGAGGCAGCAGUGGGGAAUAUUGCACAAUGGGCGAAAGCCUGAUGCAGCAACGCCGCGUGAGUGAUGACGGCCUUCGGGUUGUAAAGCUCUGUCUUUGGGGACGAUAAUGACGGUACCCAAGGAGGAAGCCACGGCUAACUACGUGCCAGCCGCCGCGGUAACAC
rnacentral:rRNA from 1 species